UGUGGGACCGUUAUAUCUGUUGUUCAAUGAGUUGAGUCGCUUGGAUUACGCGCGUCCGUGGAGCAAGCACCACUAUCGUGCUUCAUGCUUCACUCUCCCCGCCCGAAACUCAUCCCCAGAGCUCGUCUCGCGUUCGCAUUGAACUUCACCGAUCGCCGCCUCUUCUCUUCGCUCUCCCACGAACGAUCUCAACCCAGCUCGCCCUCAUCCUCUCCCGCCCGCAAUGAACUCCUCGAUCUCUUCGAUCACCUCCUCCGGCGAUGCUGCUCGGCCGAGCAACCAGGACGCGUCCACGCGCGCAUUGUCGUCGCCGGCGCUUCCGACUCCGCGUUCUUGGCGGCUCGGCUGGUGUCGGUCUACGCCCGGUUCGGGCUUCUCGGCAAUGCCCGCAUAGUGUUUGAUGAAACGCCGGCGGAGUGCAAGUCAAAUUUGCUUCUGUGGAACUCGAUCUUGAGAGCUUAUACCUCUAAUGGGUGUCAUGAAGAAGCUUUGGAGCUAUAUGUUGGGAUGAGAAAAGUCGGGGUUUUGGGUGAUGGGUUCACUUUUCCUUUGGUGAUGAGAGAUUGUGCCGAAAUGGGUCGCUCAAUCUGGUGCAGGAGUGUUCAUUGUCACGCUUUGCAAAUGGGCUUGCACCAUAAUUUGCAUGUGGUGAAUGGAUUGAUGGGUAUGUAUGCGAAGCUUGGGCAAAUGGGCAGCGCGCUUCAGCUGUUUGAUAGAAUGAGUGCUAGGAGCUGUAUUUCGUGGAACACGAUGAUCUCGGGCUUUGCAUUGAAAUUCGACUGUGAUGGGGCGCUUGAGAUGUUUCGGCGCAUGGAGUCUGAAGGAGUGGAGCCAAAUGUGGUCACAUGGACAUCGUUAUUGUCGAGUCAUGCCAGAAGUGGCCGCGAUGCCGAAACUGUGGAGUUAUUUGGUUUGAUGAGAAUGAGAGGAAUUGGUCCCAGUGCUGAAGUACUAGCUGUGGUUUUAUCUGUUUGUUCUAACAUGAUUGCACUCCACAUGAUUAAAGCAAUACAUGGACUUGUUAUAAAAGUUGGUUGCGAAGCUUAUUUGAUUGUGAAGAAUUCAUUAGUAUGUGCAUAUGGGAAGCAAAGACAAUUAAAAGAUGCUAGCCAAUUGUUCUUAGAAAUGGAAUCCAAGAACAUAGUCAGUUGGAAUGCUCUAAUUACAUCAUAUGCAGAGUCUGGAUUAUGUGACGAGGCUUUUGAAAUAUUCUCCCAGCUCAAGAAAUCCAAUGGUUGCUCAUUGGUGAGGCCCAAUGUGAUAAGUUGGAGUGUCAUCAUCGAUGCAUUUGCUUCUGCAGGGAGAGGGAGAGAGUCUUUGGAACUCUACAGACAAAUGCAGCUUGCCAACAUCGUGGGGAAUGCUGUAACCAUCUCCAGUGUCUUAUCAGUUUGUGCAGAGUUGGCGGCACUCAACCUUGGUCGGGAAGUCCACGGCCAUGUGGCUCGGGCUUUGUUGAAUCAUAACCUCCUGGUGGCAAACAGCUUGAUCACAAUGUACAUGAGAUGUGGAUGCCUUAAUGAGGGGAGCCUGGUGUUCAAGAAACUUGUUGCGAAGGACUUGAUCUCUUGGAACUCAAUGAUCGCGGGGUGUGGAAUGCACGGUUUAGGAAAAGAUGCAGUGAGAUAUUUCGAUGGAAUGGUGGAAACUGGAAUUAAGCCAGAUGAGGUCACUUUUGUUGCUGUUCUCUCUGCUUGUAGUCAUGCCGGGCUUGUUGUUGAGGGUCGUAAACUUUAUGAUCGAAUGACUGAAGAGUUUGGAAUUGAGCCACAGAUGGAACACUAUGCAUGUCUAGUUGAUCUGUUGAGCCGAUCUGGUUCCUUGCAGGAAGCUGGAGAGAUAGUAAAAGCCAUGCCAAUGACACCUAAUGUUUGUGUUUGGGGAGCUCUUCUUAAUGCUUGCAGGAUGUAUAGAGAUACAGAUUUUGCGGAGGCAACAGCCUCACACGUUUUCAAUCAGAAUUGGGAAACUACGGGAAGCUAUAUGCUUCUCUCUAACAUUUAUGCUGCAAAUGGCCAGUGGGAUGAUUCUGCAAGACUGCGGAUUUCUGCCAAGGAGAAGGGUUUGAAGAAAGUCCCAGGCCAGAGUUGGAUUGAGUUGAGUAAUAAGUUCUAUAUGUUUUCGUCCGGGAGGGCCUUGCAGUUGGGUAUGGAGGAUGUUCAUGGUGUUCUUGAAGAAUUGACACUUCAAAUGGAAACUGAAGACGUAAUACCUGCGAUAUUAUUAAAGACAGGUAGCUGAGGAUGAUUAAUUAGUCUCUGUUCGUGGAAUUGCUAAUUUCUUCACCCAUAUGGCCAAUAGAUUAUUGGCACAUAGAAGUUGGUUUAUACCUGAAGGAGGAAAAUUGUGGAUUGAGCAGCUCAGAAGUUCAACAAGUACGUGCCUUUAAGUGGAGUAGUUUGGCCGCAGACUUGUGGGCUAUUCUUCGAGGUUCAAAGUUGGUUUGGGACAGAGGCCACAGGCAGGUUCUGGUGGCGUCGGAUUCUUACACGGCAUUGAAGGGUCUGAAGACGGCUUCCGCGGGUGAGCGGAUCCUAAUGGCCAUCUUAUCGAAGGUUGCUGAAACCUCAUGUCACGCGAUUAAGAUUGCGCGGUGAGUCACAUAAGCCAAGAAAAGAAAGCUGUCGCCACUUGGUUGGCGAACCUUCCAGAAGUUAAUUCUUGGGGGCUAACUGAAUUAGACGACUCACCUCAGGAAUUAGCUCCUAGUUUGAAGAACUAGGACGAUUGUAAUCUCCCCGCCAAGUUGAUUGUUUGGCCCCAGGUUACUUCGGUUGAAGAGCACAAAAGGAAA